CCAUGAGCCCCUGAUGCGGUGACCUGGGAGUCCUGACGGGGAGACAUUCAAGGAAACCCUCCCUGAACUGAGAAAAAAUCGUGUGGUUGGAGGCAGGGCUCAACACAAUGGGAUCUAAUGAACAGUGCGCGUUGCACUAGAGAGGCUGUAGCUGGAUUACUGCUGGUGCCAAUCAAGUCAGAAACAUGAACCAGAUCCUGACCCACUAGUGGGGAAGAAUAAAAAGGAGCAACUUUCAUUGGCUCCGCGGUCCCUCGGCGAGUUGGGCAUGAGACAUGGGUGGGUCUGUCUCCCAACUUCCAGGUGAAGAGACCGAGGCAGUGGGGCUCUGUCACUGUCAACCAGCUGGUGAAGGGCGGAGCGAGAACUCUGACACAUGCUGGCCCUCCUGGAACCUGCUCUUCACACACUUGGCCAGUUACCAUCCAGCACGUUCUGUUCAGACACUGCCCCCUGCUGUCCUGCCCCUCCUUGGGGCCAUGGCUUAGACACUGUGACAACUGCCCCCUUUGUCGUGGACUACAUGAGCUUUUUCGGUUUUCACCUUCUCAUUCUGGUUUUGUCCUGUAGCUUUACAGGCAUUGGGCGACAGGAGAGAGAUCCAGUACUAACAUCUGUGCUGUAAUUUUCCAUGACUAUCUCAGAAUAACUGAAGACAUGACCACUACUUUUUGGACCAAAGCGUCUUUUAGGCUUCAUACUGACCUCUUUGGACAAGCAGGGUUUAGGUAAGAGUCCAAAUGCUUCGCAACGUUCUUUUGGAAGUUGAGCAAAACUGGAAAUGUUGUCAGUGAGAAAUAACCAAAGUUCAUGGCCAAGUAGCAAUAUGUUUGCUUAACCUUGGGGAAAAAAGAUCUUUUUCAGUUUAUAAAGUUUGAUGUAAUUGUAACCCUUCCCCCAAUUAAAAAAGCAACAGAAAAUAGGCUAGGACCAAGGGCUGAAAAUGUUCCUUGUGUGUAGAAAUACAAAUAUAUUAAUACAAAUAUAAUUUUAUUUUACUAUAAACACAUAUACAUGCUUCUUGUAAAUACAUAGACAUAACUCUUUUCA